GUGCAACCCGGAGGUCAAGUAGAAAUCGUGGAGGAAAACACAUCAUACUGGAAAAGACCUCAACUUACUAACGACGUCUCCCUUUAUUGAACGUGUACAUCAAAGAGCAUUUUUCUCACUCCAUUCAGUGAGAUUAUAACUCCCUCCCCGCUAGAUUUAUUUAAUCUGAGCCAGGAACACUUGGAGCUAGUGGCCUGACUGCUUCUCCCAGCACAGGGACUGACUAGUGAAUUGCCACCUCUUCCCAGCUGGCCUCAGGCCUUGGCUAUCUAACUUCAUUCGCUAGUUUCUAUUCUUCCUUGAGGGAGCUUGAGUUCUAGAGAAAGUUCUCUUUUCCUCUAGUUCAUAUGUGACUUGGCUCACGCUAAUUUCUGUGUGAAAGCCGAUGUGAUGACCUCAGGCCAGGGCCGCUGGUGGAGGGUGAUGGUUUAGCUCCCAAGCUCUGACCUGUACAGACCCCCCCCCCCAAGCCACUAUUAAUAACCGUCGGGGUCAGCGCCACUUGCCUAUCUGACCGUCUGCUUUAUAAUUCUUAUUUACGACCCACAACAGGCUGUUUAUGAUGAUCACAAGCUUGGGGAACAGCAGGUGAGGUGCUCAGGAGUAAAAGGUGCUUGUCUCCAAGCCUGAGGGAACUUUGCUUUCCAGGAUACACAUGGCACGCUCCCUCAACUUGUUCUCUGACCUGCGACUGAACACAUAAUAAAUAAAAUGUGAUAAUAGAGGUUAAAAAUAAGAUAAGUAAAUGAAAAGUCCCGUGGAGGUUCUGGACUUGAGGAGCUUCCCCAGAUCUCACUGGUAUGUGUGGCAGGGUCUAUCUGGACUGGAGAUUCAGGGUUGCUUUACCCCAUAUGUAAAGUCAUAAAGGACAGAAAGGCAUUUUCCUUUUGAUUAAAGCCUGGUUUCCAAACCUAGCAGGUAGGAACAAUGUCCCUCCUUGCCCAGAGGACCUGGCCCAUUUAUUUAUUUUUUUAACCUCUGAGAAGUCGUCUCCCACACAAGAUUUGAGCCAGCAGGAGACAGGAAAUGCACUAGCACUGGGCUAGGAAUGCCAUCCCUCACUCUUGAGACUGAGACAGGACUGCAGGAAGAUCUGGAUGGGGACAGAUUGAUGUGGCAGUGCCACAGCCGCACCGAUAACAUUAAUUCCAAAGCCAAUGCAGCACCUUCGCAAGUCUUGAUGUGCUGUUCAGUGUGCACUCACCUGACAGUAAAGCUUGGAGCUACCUGCGGUGGGAAGAGCAGUCAGGAUGGAAUUACCACAGCACAUGGACAGUUCGCAAUCUAGAUGUCUCUCAGGAAAGUCUAGAAGGAGCUACUCCGAAGAGAAAAUCCACCUAUUCACCAGAUUCCCUUCUCCCUCUGCACAGUCCCUGAAAGCCACCAUCCUGCAUUCUUGCUGUGUUCCUUUGACUAGGAUCCUUAUCUAAGCGAACGUGUGCAACAUUUGUCCUUUCUUGGCAAUCUUCUUCCACUUGUCACUGUGUCUUCAUGCUUCAUCAUCCAUGUUGUAGCAUGUGCCAGGUCUGCAUUUAUCUGAACAGCAGAAUCACAUUCCACUGUGCAGUGCUGCUUUUCUAUCAAUCCAUCCGUCUACUGAUUAACACACCGGCAUUCUCAGGCGACGCUUCAGGACACAGUAGUUGGGGAAUUCCAUGCCUAUACUGUGCCCAUACAGAGGUCACCAUGUCAAGUGAGGACCCAGUCCUAGCCAACCUCUGUUCUUAUGAGAGCAUCUGGACAUGCAGACUCGGGGUACAGAGGAAGGAAGGGGACCACCUUCAAGCUGAAGAGAGACGUCAGGAGAAAGGCAACCUUCGAGCCCUUGAUCAUCAACCUCACACCUCCAAAACCAUGGGAAAAUAGAUUUCUGUGGUGAAAGCUACCAAGGCUUUCUGUCUGCCAUGGUAAUUGGUUCUGAAGGAGGCGAUACUCAUUAAGAUAGUUGUGUGCCAUUAUAUUCCUAAAGAGCCUCUUACCUCCCUUUAUAUUCCUGCCUGCCUUUGUAACUGAAAUGAGUGUGCAUUUAGAACUCGCUUCCCACCUUUUCUUCCCCUCCAAGAGCUUAAGUCCUUCAAAGAAGCCUAUGACCUGACUCUUAAACCAAGGCUGCAGCCUUCUGUUUCUCUAAUCCACAGCUGGAUUGCUUUGAUACUCUGGUCAAAAGGCUCUGUUCUCAAUGGGGCUCAGUUCACAGGCAAGCUCCAGGGCAGCCCGCCUCCUCUGCCCCAGACAGUACAAGGAAAGGUGGGGGUCGUGAUGAAAAGGCAGAACACUGUGGGGAAGAGGGCAAGAGCUAGGAAAGUCAGCUUUUGUGUGUCGAGGAAAAAGCCUUGAUUGGAAUGAGGGACUCUGAGCCAUUCUGGGGACUUAGCUCACUGGAGACACAUGUGCAAAUCACUUUCCCAAAAGCUUUAAUUGCAUCAUCUUGUAAACUUGCUUCAGAAGGCCAUGGGGGGGGGGGUGAGAAUAGGAAUCAUGGUCACUGUCAUGACUACAAGGUCUAGUUUAUCAAGAGUCUUUGUCCAAAAAAACCCAGUGGAAACAUUUAAAAAUGACACUACGUUGGAGUCUGAUUAAUUUUUCUAAAACACAAAGGAUCCUCCCCUCCUCCUUCCCCCACCCCCAAUGAGCACCCCUCGGACAAGGUUUGUGCCAUCAUUACAAGUUGAGCUUUGUAGCUCCUCUAAAUGUUGAGCGAUUGGCCUGCAGCCUUCAGUAGCUUUUGGUUCAUCGACUCUGCUGCAUCUGAGUGCUGCUGUGUUCCGGGGUGCUGACCCAAUGUUGACUGUACUCUCUGGGUUCCUCAGUCCUGUCCAAUUUGACUUCGCUCUCAUUCUGUAAUCUUCAUGUUGAAGCCUAGAUUUAUAAUAAAGACAUUUUCUGUGGCUA